rnacentral:lncRNA from 1 species
AUUCCUUCUCCAGAACCUUGGGAAAGACCAGAGUGGGAAAAUCUCUUUUCCAGAACAUUGGGAGAGACCAAACUGGGAAAAUUCCUUCUCCAGAACAUUGGGAGAGGCCAGAGUGGAGGAAUUCCUUGUCCAGAAGAUUGGGAAAAGCUGAAGUGGAGGAAUUCCUUCUCCAGAAUCUUGGGAGAGACCAAACUGGGAAAAUUCCUUCUCCAGAAUCUUGGGAGAGGCCCGAGUGGGAGAAUCCCUUUUCCAGCUGGAUGAUCCUGGGGUCUCAGGUUACCCCUCUGAAGAAAUUCUGUUUGCCAGAAGUUUUCUAUCCUGGGCUGCACUUGAAUCUCAAUAAUGAAGAAAAGCAGAAGUGUCAUGACAGUGACUGCAGAUGAGAACUCCCUGGAUUACCUGGAAUGCGGGCUCAGCAAAUCCUACAGCACCUCCAGCCACGCCCUGGGCAUCGACCUGUGGCGGGGCCGCCGCUGCUGCUCGGGCCCCCCCCCCCCCCCCCCCCCCCCCCCCCUGCUGCUCGGGCUCGCUGCAGCUGCCGCCGCUGGCCCAGCGGCAGACGGAGCUAGCCCGGAGCCCGGAGAGGGAGCCGGUGUGCCGGCCCACCACCCUGCCCCUGCUGCCGCCGCCCAGCAUCGCCAUCACCGCCUGCCACGACUGGUGAGUCUCCUGCCCCUGCCCCUGUCCCUGCUCCUGUCCCUGCUCCUGCUCCUGCUCCUGCCCCUGUUCCUGUUCCUGCUCCUGCCCCUGUCCUUGUCCCUGUCCCUGCUCCUGCUCCUGCUCCUGUCCCUGCUCCUGUCCCUGCUCCUGUCCCUGUCCUGCUCCUGCUCCUGCCCCUGUUCCUGCUCCUGCCCCUGCUCCUGUUCCUGCUCCUGGCUGUUUACCCUCCAUGGAACAAAAUCUCUGUGCAGUUGUUUGCAUUGCAAUAGCAGAUUAUAUCUGUUUAUUUUUCUAGCAUUCAGAAAUGGAUUGUGGCAUUCAUCAUAAGAAAACAAAAACUCAGGAUUCUGGUAGGACCCAGGAGCAGCAAGAGCAGGAGACCAGUCUUGCAAACACCCUGGAGCAUAUUAUAGGACAGCUGGAUGUUCUGACUCAGGUAUGGUUUGCUUUUUAAUUUGUUAUUGACAAGGGUACCUGUGACUGGAAGAAUUUGGAAUGUCUUGAAACAGUUUAAU